UUGACGGGGCCCGCACAAGCGGAGGAGCAUGUGGUUUAAUUCGAUGAUACGCGAGGAACCUUACCUGGGCUCGAACGUAAGAUGACUGUAGGUGAAAGCUUACAUCUCUUCGGAGCAUUUUACGAGGUGCUGCAUGGUUGUCGUCAGCUCGUGCCGUGAGGUGUCGGGUUAAGUCCCAUAACGAGCGCAACCCUACCUUUAGUUGCCAUCAGGUAAUGCUGGGGACUCUAAAGGAACUGCCUACGCAAGUAGUGAGGAAGGCGGGGAUGACGUCAAAUCAGCACGGCCCUUACGUCCAGGGCUACACACGUGCUACAAUGGCCGAUACAGAGGGCAGCUACCUGGUGACAGGAUGCAAAUCUCCAAAGUCGGUCUCAGUUCGGAUCGGAGUCUGCAACCCGACUCCGUGAAGUUGGAUUCGCUAGUAAUCGCGCAUCAGCCAUGGCGCGGUGAAUACGUUCCCGGGCCUU
rnacentral:rRNA from 1 species